rnacentral:rRNA from 1 species
UAACAAGGUCUCCGUUGGUGAACCAGCGGAGGGAUCAUUACUGAGUUUACGCUCUACAACCCUUUGUGAACAUACCUACAACUGUUGCUUCGGCGGGUAGGGUCUCCGCGACCCUCCCGGCCUCCCGCCUCCGGGCGGGUCGGCGCCCGCCGGAGGAUAACCAAACUCUGAUUUAACGACGUUUCUUCUGAGUGGUACAAGCAAAUAAUCAAAACUUUUAACAACGGAUCUCUUGGUUCUGGCAUCGAUGAAGAACGCAGCGAAAUGCGAUAAGUAAUGUGAAUUGCAGAAUUCAGUGAAUCAUCGAAUCUUUGAACGCACAUUGCGCCCGCCAGCAUUCUGGCGGGCAUGCCUGUUCGAGCGUCAUUUCAACCCUCAAGCUCUGCUUGGUGUUGGGGCCCUACAGCCGAUGUAGGCCCUCAAAGGUAGUGGCGGACCCUCCCGGAGCCUCCUUUGCGUAGUAACUUUACGUCUCGCACUGGGAUCCGGAGGGACUCUUGCCGUAAAACCCCCCAAUUUUCCAAAGGUUGACCUCGGAUCAGGUAGGAAUACCCGCUGAACUUAAGCAUAU